AUAAUACCAAAUGACCGCUCAUUGCGCAUGCCCCAUUAUUGCGCGGGAAAUUUAAACACCCAGACGUCCUAAUUGCUGCUACUAGCAGAGCCACCAACCGGAUGGGGAACUCUACCCGGCGUUUUGCAGAAUCCGCUAUUGGUGCCCCUCCUGAGAGGAAGAAACAGUAACAAGGACUGAGUUAGUGGGUGAGGAAAGUUCACCUUUGUCUCCUGCACCCAUUCCUGCUCGAAUGCACAGGUAUCGCCAGCGAUCCACCUCACCACUGGACCUGCUCUUUCCUUGCCUUGAAUUCACCAAAUCAAAUAUAUGCUGCAUGCAACCUUGUAAAAGAUUUACAUUCCCAGUUCUCUGACCUGAGGAUGCAGAGGAUAUAUAAUAUAAUGACUUGCAUACUCUACACCUUAGUGUUGCACAAAACUAAUGGUUUCUGCUAUCACCAGACCUAAGUGCUAAGACUUGAAGCACAUGAGGCAUUUUAUGUUGCAUAUUUCCAGAGAUAAAACAUACAUUGUCCAUACACAAAGCUGCCAUAAAAUGCCCCAUGAACCAUUACCCUAAGGAUGUAAUAUAGCAUUCCAAUUGUUCAUGUGCAGUAAUAACACAAUUAAUCAUGUUGACGAGUACACCAUUUACAAGCCAAUGAAAUGUACUGUAUUGUAAUGUAACUGUACUGAGCACUUCCUUAGAGGCAGCCUUAUAUAGAGAAUCACUGUGCACCUUUUUGGAA